CCUGUAGCUCAGUGGCCAGGGCACCAGCCUCAUACACCGGAGGUGGCGGGUUCGAAUCCAGCCCAGG
rnacentral:tRNA from 1 species